rnacentral:lncRNA from 1 species
AGGGCCUCAAUUUGUCACCCAGGCUGAAGUGCAGUGGUGUGAUUUCGGCUCACUGCAGGCUCCACCUCCUGGGCUCAAGUGUUCCUCCUGCCUCAGCCUCCCAAGUAGGUGGUACUGAAUAUAAGUUCAGCUAAUUGUAGAAUUCUAGGCUAACAGUUAACUUCUGUCAGCCCUUUGGAAAUAUACUAACGUCUUCAGACUUUCAUUGUUGCUAUUGAAAAGUGUAUUCAUUUUUUUAUGGCUGUCACAAAUUAUCAUGACUUUACUGGAUUAAAAGAGCACAAAUUUAUUGUUUCAAAGUUCUGUAGGUCAAAAGUCAGGAAUGGAUCUCACUGGGCUAAAAUCAAGGUGUUGGUCAGCUGGCUUUAUUCCUUUCUGAGGGCUCUUGAGUUUGUUUCCUUGCUCAUGCAGAUGUUGGAAGAAUUCAGUUCCAUGCAGUUAAAGGACUGAGGGUCUUGCUCUGUCACCCAGGCUGGAGUGCAGUUGCUCUAUCAUGACUCACUGCAGCCUCAAAUGCUUGGACUCGAGCAAUCCUUCAGGCUAAAAGGUUUAUGAAGACAUCUGUCUUGUCCGGCAUCAUAUCCUGGGACCCACAAAGUGACUGAAAUAUAUCUGGUGGUCAAUAUAUAUUUGGUGAGUAGAUAAUAUGUCCUCAUGGUGUUUGAGUGGCAUUGCUUGAUGUAGCUGAAUCCAAAUAGAAUAUCAGCUUUUUUAUGUCCUUCCACUUCAAAUUGUUUCAUUUUACACAUAAUUUUUCAGAGCCAGUUAAUCAGACAAAGAUGAUUUAUUUUCAUACCUAAAGCACUUUAUAAUAUUCUCUGGAAA